ensembl:rRNA 5S_rRNA 5S ribosomal RNA
GUCUACAGCCAUACCACCCUGAACACUCCCAAUCUCGUCUGAUUUAGGAAGCUAAGCAGGGCUGGGCCUGGUUAGUACCUGGAUGGGCGAACAUUCCAAGGUGAAGUUCUUGAGGCACAUGGCU